AUUUAAAUAGUUUAAUUAAAAUAUUGAUUUGUGGAAUCAAAGAUAUAGUAAUUAUUUUAAAUA
rnacentral:tRNA from 1 species